rnacentral:pre_miRNA from 1 species
CGGAGUGUUGGACGAGGGUGUGUCUUUUUCCGCUUUGCUGCCGCUGAGAUGAAGUUCGCCAGCAAAGGGGAACAGGCCGAUCCUCCCGCACGAGCAAAUAAUCAUCGACG